rnacentral:rRNA from 1 species
AGUGGCGAACGGGUGAGUAACACGUGGGCAAUCUGCCCUUCACACCGGGAUAACCCUUGGAAACGAGAGCUAAUACCGGAUACUCCNGGCGCAUGGAAAGCUCCGGUGGAGGAUGAGCCCGCGGCCCAUUAGCUUGUUGGUGAGGUAACGGCUCACCAAGGCGACGAUGGGUAGCCGAGCUGAGAGGCUGAUCGGCCACACUGGGACUGAGACACGGCCCAGACUCCUGCGGGAGGCAGCAGUGGGGAAUUUUGCGCAAUGGGCGAAAGCCUGACGCAGCAACGCCGCGUGCGGGACGAAGGCCUUCGGGUUGUAAACCGCUUUCAGCAGGGACGAAUGACUGUACCUGCAGAAGAAGCUCCGGCUAACUACGUGCCAGCAGCCGCGGUAAUACGUAGGGAGCAAGCGUUAUCCGGAUUUAUUGGGCGUAAAGCGCGCGUAGGCGGCUUGUUAAGUCAGGUGUGAAAGCCGGGGGCUCAACCCGCGGAUUGCACCUGAAAC